rnacentral:rRNA from 1 species
ACGGAGGAUCCAAGCGUUGUCCGGAUUUAUUGGGUUUAAAGGGUGCGUAGGCGGAUCUUUAAGUCAGUGGUGAAAGCCUGCAGCUCAACUGUAGAACAGCCAUUGAAACUGAAGAUCUUGAAUUUGGUUAAAGUAGGCGGAAUGUAUCAUGUAGCGGUGAAAUGCUUAGAUAUGAUACAGAACACCGAUAGCGAAGGCAGCUUGCUGAACCAAUAUUGACGCUGAGGCACGAAAGCGUGGGGAGCGAACAGGAUUAGAUACCCUGGUAGUCCACGCCCUAAACGUUGAUUACUCGUUGUUGGCGAUAUACUGUCAGCGACCAAGCUAAAGCGUUAAGUAAUCCACCUGGGAAGUACGACCGCAAGGUUG